rnacentral:rRNA from 1 species
AGUGAACGCUGGCGGUAGGCCUAACACAUGCAAGUCGAACGGCAGCACAGUAAGAGCUUGCUCUUACGGGUGGCGAGUGGCGGACGGGUGAGGAAUACAUCGGAAUCUACUUUUUCGUGGGGGAUAACGUAGGGAAACUUACGCUAAUACCGCAUACGACCUACGGGUGAAAGCAGGGGAUCUUCGGACCUUGCGCGAUUGAAUGAGCCGAUGUCGGAUUAGCUAGUUGGCGGGGUAAAGGCCCACCAAGGCGACGAUCCGUAGCUGGUCUGAGAGGAUGAUCAGCCACACUGGAACUGAGACACGGUCCAGACUCCUACGGGAGGAAGCAGUGGGGAAUAUUGGACAAUGGGCGCAAGCCUGAUCCAGCCAUACCGCGUGGGUGCAGAAGGCCUUCGGCUUGUAAAGCCCUUUUGUUGGGAAAGAAAAGCAGCAGGUUAAUACCCCGCUGUUCUGACGGUACCCAAAGAAUAAGCACCGGCUAACUUCGUG